AGAGUUUGAUCAUGGCUCAGAUUGAACGCUGGCGGCAUGCCUUACACAUGCAAGUCGAACGGCAGCAUAGGAGCUUGCUCCUGAUGGCGAGUGGCGAACGGGUGAGUAAUAUAUCGGAACGUGCCCUAGGGUGGGGGAUAACUAGUCGAAAGACUAGCUAAUACCGCAUACGAUCUACGGAUGAAAGUGGGGGAUCGCAAGACCUCAUGCUCCUGGAGCGGCCGAUAUCUGAUUAGCUAGUUGGUGGGGUAAAAGCCUACCAAGGCAACGAUCAGUAGCUGGUCUGAGGGGACGACCAGCCACACUGGGACUGAGACACGGCCCAGACUCCUACGGGAGGCAGCAGUGGGGAAUUUUGGACAAUGGGGGCAACCCUGAUCCAGCAAUGCCGCGUGAGUGAAGAAGGCCUUCGGGUUGUAAAGCUCUUUUGUCAGGGAAGAAACGGUGGUAGCGAAUAACUACUACUAAUGACGGUACCUGAAGAAUAAGCACCGGCUAACUACGUGCCAGCAGCCGCGGUAAU
rnacentral:rRNA from 1 species